rnacentral:rRNA from 1 species
GACGAACGCUGGCGGCGUGCUUAACACAUGCAAGUCGAACGGAAAGGCCCUGCUUUUGUGGGGUGCUCGAGUGGCGAACGGGUGAGUAACACGUGAGUAACCUGCCCUUGACUUUGGGAUAACUUCAGGAAACUGGGGCUAAUACCGGAUAGGAGCUCCUGCUGCAUGGUGGGGGUUGGAAAGUUUCGGCGGUUGGGGAUGGACUCGCGGCUUAUCAGCUUGUUGGGGGGGUAGUGGCUUACCAAGGCUUUGACGGGUAGCCGGCCUGAGAGGGUGACCGGCCACAUUGGGACUGAGAUACGGACCAGACUCCUACGGGAGGCAGCAGUGGGGAAUAUUGCACAAUGGGCGGAAGCCUGAUGCAGCAACGCCGCGUGCGGGAUACCGGCCUUCGGGUUGUAAACCGCUUUCGCCUGUGACGAAGCGUGAGUGACGGUAAUGGGUAAAGAAGCACCGGCUAACUACGUG